AUGGUCAACAAAUUUACCAUCGGAUCUUUCUAUAAUUUUAAGAUAUGAUUUUUAAACUAUAAAUAAUAAUUUAGUAAAUAAUUUUUUAUUAUAUUUUUUCUUUUAAAUUUGUGUAUUUUCCUAUACUUUGAUAGGGAGCUCUUCUUUAAAAGGAGAUCAAUUCAGUUUAAAAAUGCCCACGACCGUUGAGCCCUCUUCUUCAUCUGAUAAUUUUUAUUAUCACCUUAGGGAGAAAAAUGUUUGUAAUUCCCUUCGCUACAAUGCGAUUAACCUUUGUUUUUUCUUGUUUUUUCUUACGUAUUAAAAUGUUACAAAUAAAAUAUAUUAUAAAA
rnacentral:misc_RNA from 1 species